UAGUAAAGAAGUAAAAUUUACAUUUAGUUUCGACCUAAAAUUAAGAUUAAUUUCUCAUACUAU
rnacentral:tRNA from 2 species